GAAGGUAUGGCUCAGUGGUAGAGCUCAUGCUUACCAUGCAUGAAGCCCUGGGUUCAAUCCUCAGUAUCUUCA